UUCCUUGACACAUCUAGUUUAAAGCUUUGUCAAUGAGCCCUGCUCGCUCCUGAGCAAAGACAAGCUUCUGCAGACAUGACAAAAGCCAGGGACUGCUAACUACCUUUGACAGCUGACAGCCAGCAGAUGCCUGGUGAAGGCAAACACCUCCAGCCAGGACAAGGGAUGAGAGAAAGGAGACUCAGAUACAUUUCCUUCACCACUCUCUCACUGCUCAGGCUAAAAGUUAUUUGGAAAUAUUAACAACAGAGCCAGAAGGACAAAAUUUUGCAAAUGAAGUUUGUGCAUGAAUGUUCCAUGCCUUCUUCCCCAGCUGGAUCCUCCAGGGGCAACAGCAGUUUCAAGUGUAAAGAUGUCACUUCUUUGCAGAAAAAGCCCAUGGUCCCACCUGGCCACUGCUGGCUGCCCUUCCAGCCAGGGAGGAAACCUGAAUACCCCACCAGAUCUGCUCAUCUUCUUCAUGGAGUCAACAGGGUUUCCAGAUUACUUUUGAAGUGAAAAGCUCACAAGAAUGUUGGUGAAUUUUAGCACUUUCUGCAAUGUCAUUCCAGUGAAUAUCCAGUAUUAUCCUUAGGCAAUGGCUCACAAAGGAAUUCAGCAAAUCCCACUUGAGCUGUAAGACACAUUUAUCAAGACUGAAGUAAA